UGUAGCUUGGGCAUUCGGUGGAGCAACAAUGUUCUUGAUUUGAAGAUGGAUUUUCGGUUGCUCUCAACUGGCACUUUGUUGGUUUUGUGGGUGUGGACUUCUGUGUCGGGAACGUUUGAAAAUGAGGAUAUUCUGAGCAAGAUGGAUUCUGAGAGUGCCACAAUACGAUGGAUUCAGCACAAAGAGAAGACACAGAAAAGACGUUCUUUGGACAAUACGAUGACGCUGGAAAUAUACCUCCAUCAGUGGAACACUUCUAUGACCGUGGAACUUGUCCGCAACAG